rnacentral:rRNA from 1 species
GGGUGAUCGGCCACAUUGGAACUGAGACACGGUCCAAACUCCUACGGGAGGCAGCAGUGGGGAAUAUUGCACAAUGGGCGCAAGCCUGAUGCAGCAACGCCGCGUGAGUGAUGAAGGCCUUCGGGUCGUAAAACUCUGUCCUCAAGGAAGAUAAUGACGGUACUUGAGGAGGAAGCACCGGCUAACUACGUGCCAGCAGCCGCGGUAA